UACCAGACUCCUACGGGAGGCAGCAGUGGGGAAUAUUGCACAAUGGGGGAAACCCUGAUGCAGCAACGCCGCGUGAAGGAAGACGGUUUUCGGAUUGUAAACUUCUGUUCUUAGUGAAGAAGAAUGACGGUAGCUAAGGAGCAAGCCACGGCUAACUACGUGCCAGCAGCCGCGGUAAUACGUAGGUGGCGAGCGUUGUCCGGAUUUACUGGGCGUAAAGGGAGCGUAGGCGGACUUUUAAGUGAGAUGUGAAAUACUCGGGCUCAACUUGAGUGCUGCAUUUCAAACUGGAAGUCUAGAGUGCAGGAGAGGAGAAUGGAAUUCCUAGUGUAGCGGUGAAAUGCGUAGAGAUUAGGAAGAACACCAGUGGCGAAGGCGAUUCUCUGGACUGUAACUGACGCUGAGGCUCGAAAGCGUGGGGAGCAAACAGGAUUAGAUACCCCAGUAACA
rnacentral:rRNA from 1 species